UACGUAGGGGGCUAGCGUUGUCCGGAUUUAUUGGGCGUAAAGAGCGUGUAGGCGGCCAGGUAGGUCUGCUGUGAAAACUCGAGGCUCAACCUCGAGACGCUGGCGAAACCAUCUGGCUAGAGUCCGGAAGAGGAGAGUGGAAUUCCUGGUGUAGCGGUGAAAUGCGCAGAUAUCAGGAAGAACACCCGUGGCGAAGGCGG
rnacentral:rRNA from 1 species